rnacentral:rRNA from 1 species
AGAAUUGACGGGGCCGCACAAGCGGUGGAGCAUGUUGGUUUAAUUCGAAGCAACGCGAAGAACCUUACCAGGUCUUGACAUCCCGAUGCUAUUUCUAGAGAUAGAAAGUUACUUCGGUACAUCGGUGACAGGUGGUGCAUGGUUGUCGUCAGCUCGUGUCGUGAGAUGUUGGGUUAAGUCCCGCAACGAGCGCAACCCCUAUUGUUAGUUGCCAUCAUUCAGUUGGGCACUCUAGCGAGACUGCCGGUAAUAAACCGGAGGAAGUGGGGAUGACGUCAAAUCAUCAUGCCCCUUAUGACCUGGGCUACACACGUGCUACAAUGGUUGGUACAACGAGUUGCGAGUCGGUGACGGCGAGCUAAUCUCUUAAAGCCAAUCUCAGUUCGGAUUGUAGGCUGCAACUCGCCUACAUGAAGUCGGAAUCGCUAGUAAUCGCGGAUCAGCACGCCGCGGUGAAUACGUUCCCGGGCCUU